AUUUUAAGUUUAACGAAAUUCGAUUUCGGAUAAAAGUUCUUUUCUCAUGUUCUGUGUUAAAAUUGUCAAACAGUUCGUUAUAACUGAUAGAUAACAUCUCUGAAUCUUUGACAUUUACCUUUAGUUUUCUAGAAGUUAACAAAGACAAAAGAUUGACUCAAUAUUUAUCAAGAAUCAACGAAUUAUUAAUAAAUUCAAUUCUAAUAUUCACUGACAUUGUGAGUAAAAUCAUCCAACUGUCAAUACAAUUUCGAGAAAAUGAACUUUAGUCUUUCCUUUUCUCCACCAGAUGGAAGCACAGAUCGUUCUAUUGAUUUUCAUGUUAAUUGUUUGUGAUCAGAAAUUAAUCCAAAUGUUUCAAUUAAUUAACUUGGAAUUGAUUAUGAUAAUAUUUGAUUAACGAGAGAAAAAUUAACUUUCGACUUUUCAACUUACAACUUACUCUAUUUAAUCUUUCCAAUUGUCUGAAUCUCCUUCUUUCUGAUUGUUUCUUUCACUUGUGUUUACCUUUACCCUUUGAUUACAAUGUUUAUUUUCAUCUCUUUGUUUUCUUUUGUUUCCUAAUUGUUUUAAAGGUAAUUUGAUUCUGUCAACAAUUAAAUGGAAUCAUUUUGAUGAGAAUAAGAUGAAGCAAGAUCAUCAAUGGAGGAUGAGAGCAAAUAAAUGAACCCAAUUUAAACUCAAUGUUUGUGAUUAAAUGAUUGUCAGUCUGAUGAUUUUCCUGGUCAAUCUCCUUGGAGUCUUCCCAAUGGUUAACUGGAACGUGAAUACCUAAUGGAGUUAAUUGUUUCACCACAAUUAUGAUGAUCAACAUGAUGGAUUCUUGAUUAACCUGGAAACCGGAAAUUAUCCUUGAUCGUGUUAGAUAAAGACGGAGAGUCAAAGAUAUGAUCGUAAUGAUGGUAAAGACAAUAAAGAAAUUGUGGAAAUA